rnacentral:rRNA from 1 species
UUAAGCGACUAAGCGUACACGGUGGAUGCCCUGGCAGUCAGAGGCGAUGAAGGGCGUGCUAAUCUGCGAUAAGCGCCGGUAAGGUGAUAUGAACCGUUAUAACCGGCGAUACCCGAAUGGGGAAACCCAGUGUGAUUCGUCACACUAUCAUUAACUGAAUCCAUAGGUUAAUGAGGCGAACCGGGGGAACUGAAACAUCUAAGUACCCCGAGGAAAAGAAAUCAACCGAGAUUCCCCCAGUAGCGGCGAGCGAACGGGGAGGAGCCCAGAGCCUGAAUCAGCAUGUGUGUUAGUGGAAGCGUCUGGAAAGGCGCGCGAUACAGGGUGACAGCCCCGUACACAAAAGCGCAUGUGCUGUGAGCUCGAUGAGUAGGGCGGGACACGUGGUAUCCUGUCUGAAUAUGGGGGGACCAUCCUCCAAGGCUAAAUACUCCUGACUGACCGAUAGUGAACCAGUACCGUGAGGGAAAGGCGAAAAGAACCCCGGCGAGGGGAGUGAAAAAGAACCUGAAACCGUGUACGUACAAGCAGUGGGAGCNUGAGGGAAAGGCGAAAAGAACCCCGGCGAGGGGAGUGAAAAAGAACCUGAAACCGUGUACGUACAAGCAGUGGGAGCCCCACCACUAAGCCAGUGGUGAACUCCACAUACGCAUCCUUUGCUGAGGAUACGGUUAACGGAGCGCAAGCGACGUUCAACCGCAAAAGAAGCAGAGGGGGCUUAGUGGUGGGGUGACUGCGUACCUUUUGUAUAAUGGGUCAGCGACUUAUAUUCUGUAGCAAGGUUAACCGUAUAGGGGAGCCGCAGGGUGACUGCGUACCUUUUGUAUAAUGGGUCAGCGACUUAUAUUCUGUAGCAAGGUUAACCGUAUAGGGGAGCCGCAGGGAAACCGAGUCUUAACCGGGCGUUAAGUUGCAGGGUAUAGACCCGAAACCCGGUGAUCUAGCCAUGGGCAGGUUGAAGGUUGGGUAACACUAACUGGAGGACCGAACCGACUAAUGUUGAAAAAUUAGCGGAUGACCUGUGGCUGGGGGUGAAAGGCCAAUCAAACCGGGAGAUAGCUGGUUCUCCCCGAAAGCUAUUUAGGUAGCGCCUCGUGAAUUCAUCUCCGGGGGUAGAGCACUGUUUCGGCUAGGGGGCCAUCCCGGCUUACCAACCCGAUGCAAACUGCGAAUACCGGAGAAUGUUAUCACGGGAGACACACGGCGGGUGCUAACGUCCGUCGUGAAGAGGGAAACAACCCAGACCGCCAGCUAAGGUCCCAAAGUCAUGGUUAAGUGGGAAACGAUGUGGGAAGGCCCAGACAGCCAGGAUGUUGGCUUAGAAGCAGCCAUCAUUUAAAGAAAGCGUAAUAGCUCACUGGUCGAGUCGGCCUGCGCGGAAGAUGUAACGGGGCUAAACCAUGCACCGAAGCUGCGGCAGCGAGUAAUAGCUCACUGGUCGAGUCGGCCUGCGCGGAAGAUGUAACGGGGCUAAACCAUGCACCGAAGCUGCGGCAGCGAACGUAUCACUUAAAGCGAUUCAGCGGGUUACGAUUGACGGAGCGAAGCGACGUCAAAGCGUAUACAAAGUCGAGUCGGUUUAAGGAUACGUUCGUUGGGUAGGGGAGCGUUCUGUAAGCCUGUGAAGGUGUGUCGUGAGGCAUGCUGGAGGUAUCAGAAGUGCGAAUGCUGUUGGGUAGGGGAGCGUUCUGUAAGCCUGUGAAGGUGGCCUGUGAGGGUUGCUGGAGGUAUCAGAAGUGCGAAUGCUGACAUAAGUAACGAUAAAGCGGGUGAAAAGCCCGCUCGCCGGAAGACCAAGGGUUCCUGUCCAACGUUAAUCGGGGCAGGGUGAGUCGACCCCUAAGGCGAGGCCGAAAGGCGUAGUCGAUGGGAAACGGGUUAAUAUUCCCGUACUUGGUGUUACUGCGAAGGGGGGACGGAGAAGGCUAUGUUGGCCGGGCGACGGUUGUCCCGGUUUAAGCGUGUAGGUGUGUGUUCCAGGUAAAUCCGGUUCACUUUAACACUGAGGCGUGAUGACGAGGCACUACGGUGCUGAAGCAACAAAUGCCCUGCUUCCAGGAAAAGCCUCUAAGCAUCAGGUAACAUCAAAUCGUACCCCAAACCGACACAGGUGGUCAGGUAGAGAAUACCAAGGCGCUUGAGAGAACUCGGGUGAAGGAACUAGGCAAAAUGGUGCCGUAACUUCGGGAGAAGGCACGCUGACAUGUAGGUGAAGUGAUUUACUCAUGGAGCUGAAGUCAGUCGAAGAUACCAGCUGGCUGCAACUGUUUAUUAAAAACACAGCACUGUGCAAACACGAAAGUGGACGUAUACGGUGUGACGCCUGCCCGGUGCCGGAAGGUUAAUUGAUGGGGUCAGCGCAAGCGAAGCUCCUGAUCGAAGCCCCGGUAAACGGCGGCCGUAACUAUAACGGUCCUAAGGUAGCGAAAUUCCUUGUCGGGUAAGUUCCGACCUGCACGAAUGGCGUAAUGAUGGCCAGGCUGUCUCCACCCGAGACUCAGUGAAAUUGAACUCGCUGUGAAGAUGCAGUGUACCCGCGGCAAGACGGAAAGACCCCGUGAACCUUUACUAUAGCUUGACACUGAACAUUGAGCCUUGAUGUGUAGGAUAGGUGGGAGGCUUUGAAGCGUGGACGCCAGUCUGCAUGGAGCCGGCCUUGAAAUACCACCCUUUAAUGUUUGAUGUUCUAACGUGGACCCGUGAUCCGGGUUGCGGACAGUGUCUGGUGGGUAGUUUGACUGGGGCGGUCUCCUCCUAAAGAGUAACGGAGGAGCACGAAGGUUGGCUAAUCCUGGUCGGACAUCAGGAGGUUAGUGCAAUGGCAUAAGCCAGCUUGACUGCGAGCGUGACGGCGCGAGCAGGUGCGAAAGCAGGUCAUAGUGAUCCGGUGGUUCUGAAUGGAAGGGCCAUCGCUCAACGGAUAAAAGGUACUCCGGGGAUAACAGGCUGAUACCGCCCAAGAGUUCAUAUCGACGGCGGUGUUUGGCACCUCGAUGUCGGCUCAUCACAUCCUGGGGCUGAAGUAGGUCCCAAGGGUAUGGCUGUUCGCCAUUUAAAGUGGUACGCGAGCUGGGUUUAGAACGUCGUGAGACAGUUCGGUCCCUAUCUGCCGUGGGCGCUGGAGAACUGAGGGGGGCUGCUCCUAGUACGAGAGGACCGGAGUGGACGCAUCACUGGUGUUCGGGUUGUCAUGCCAAUGGCACUGCCCGGUAGCUAAAUGCGGAAGAGAUAAGUGCUGAAAGCAUCUAAGCACGAAACUUGCCCCGAGAUGAGUUCUCCCUGAGACUUAAAGUCUCCUGAAGGAACGUUGAAGACGACGACGUUGAUAGGCCGGGUGUGUAAGCGCAGCGAUGCGUUGAGCUAACCGGUACUAAUGAACCGUGAGGCUUAACCUU